rnacentral:rRNA from 1 species
GAUGAACGCUGGCGGCGUGCCUAAUACAUGCAAGUCGAGCGAACGGACGAGAAGCUUGCUUCUCUGAUGUUAGCGGCGGACGGGUGAGUAACACGUGGAUAACCUACCUAUAAGACUGGGAUAACUUCGGGAAACCGGAGCUAAUACCGGAUAAUAUUUUGAACCGCAUGGUUCAAAAGUGAAAGACGGUCUUGCUGUCACUUAUAGAUGGAUCCGCGCUGCAUUAGCUAGUUGGUAAGGUAACGGCUUACCAAGGCAACGAUGCAUAGCCGACCUGAGAGGGUGAUCGGCCACACUGGAACUGAGACACGGUCCAGACUCCUACGGGAGGCAGCAGUGGGGAAUAUUGCGCAAUGGGCGAAAGCCUGACGGAGCAACGCCGCGUGAGUGAUGAAGGUCUUCGGAUCGUAAAACUCUGUUAUUAGGGAAGAACAUAUGUGUAAGUAACUGUGCACAUCUUGACGGUACCUAAUCAGAAAGCCACGGCUAACUUCGUG